GGAUUCNCUAGUAGCGGCGAGCGAACCGGAAGAGCCCAGCUUGAAAAUCGUGAGGCUUGGCUUUACGAAUUGUAGUCUGGAGAAGCGUCCUCUGCAGCGGACCGGGCCCAAGUUCCCUGGAACGGGACGUCGGAGAGGGUGAGAGCCCCGUCGAGCUCGGACCCUGCUGCUCCACGAGGCGCUGUCGGCGAGUCGGGCUGUUUGGGAAUGCAGCCCUAAGUGGGUGGUAAAUUCCAUCCAAGGCUAAAUACUGGCAGGAGACCGAUAGCAAACAAGUACCGCGAGGGAAAGAUGAAAAGGACUUUGAAAAGAGAGUUAAAGAGUGCUUGAAAUUGCUGGGAGGGAAGCGAAUGGAGGCUGCGGGUGUGCCCCGGUUGGAUGCGGAACGGCGCAAGCUGGUCCGCCGCUCAACGCGGGGUGCUGGUCAGCGUGGGCUAUCCCGGCGGGACAAGAGCGAGCUUAUGUUGCUGGCCUAUGCCGUUGGGGUGGCCGAGGAAGGAAGCGCGCGCCUUCGGGCGGCCCUCGGGACCUGCGCGCUCGGGACGCUGGCGUAUUGAGCUUUCCAUCCGGCCCGUCUUGAAACACGGACCAAGGAGUCUAACAUGUAUGCGAGCCGGUGGGUGGCAAACCCAUGGAGGCGCAAGUAACCUGACAGGUGGGAUCCGCAAGGAGCACCAUCGACCGACCAUGAUCUUCUGUGAAAGGUUUGAGUGUGAGCAUACCUGCUGGGACCCGAAAGAUGGUGAACUAUGCCUGAGCAGGGCGAAGCCAGAGGAAACUCUGGUGGAGGCUCGUAGCGAUACUGACGUGCAAAUCGUUCGUCAGACUUGGGUAUAGGGGCGAAAGACUAAUCGAACCAUCUAGUAGCUGGUUCCCUCCGAAGUUUCCCUCAGGAUAGCUGGAGCUCAUGUAAGAGUUUUAUCAGGUAAAGCGAAUGAUUAGAGGCAUCGGGGGUGAAACACCCUCGACCUAUUCUCAAACUUUAAAUGGGUAAGCCGCCGGGGUGCUGAUGACCCCGCAGAG
rnacentral:rRNA from 1 species